GAUGAACGCUGGCGGCGUGCCUAAUACAUGCAAGUCGAGCGAACGGACGAGAAGCUUGCUUCUCUGAUGUUAGCGGCGGACGGGUGAGUAACACGUGGAUAACCUACCUAUAAGACUGGGAUAACUUCGGGAAACCGGAGCUAAUACCGGAUAAUAUUUUGAACCGCAUGGUUCAAAAGUGAAAGCCGGUCUUGAUGUCACUUAUAGAUGGAUCCGCGCUGCAUUAGCUAGUUGGUAAGGUAACGGCUUACCAAGGCAACGAUGCAUAGCCGACCUGAGAGGGUGAUCGGCCACACUGGAACUGAGACACGGUCCAGACUCCUACGGGAGGCAGCAGUAGGGAAUCUUCCGCAAUGGGCGAAAGCCUGACGGAGCAACGCCGCGUGAGUGAUGAAGGUCUUCGGAUCGUAAAACUCUGUUAUUAGGGAAGAACAUAUGUGUAAGUAACUGUGCACAUCUUGACGGUACCUAAUCAGAAAGCCACGGCUAACUACGUG
rnacentral:rRNA from 1 species